AACUUUUGGCAACGGAUCUCUUGGCUCUUGCAACGAUGAAGAACGCAGCAAAAUGCGACAAGUAUUGAGACAUGCAAUCUUUGAGAAACAACCAGUUUUUGAACGCACCUUGCACCGACCGGCCAGCGCCCGUCGGUAUACUUGUUUGAGCAUCGACGCAGCUCUGUCCGCGUGCAGCGGGACGGGACAUGGCCUUUUCGCGCAGGCGAGUGGGCCGAAAGGCAGCGGCGCGGCGGCGCGCACAUGGGACAAGCGCACAGCGCACAGCAGUGUGGGAGAACAUGGGCGCGCGCGGCAGGCGACGAACGAGGUUGGAUGGGAACGCACGCGCGAACCCGCCCACCACCAUCAGAACAACCAACCGAUCUCAAAUCAAGUAGGAAGACCCGCCGAACUUAAGCAUAUCAAUAAGCGGAGGCU
rnacentral:misc_RNA from 1 species